CAUUAAGAAGCUAUAAAGGACCAGCGUUAGCCUUUUAAGCUAACGACAGAUGAUUGCCGCCCAUCCUUAAUGA
rnacentral:tRNA from 1 species